UUUAGGUUAUGUUCGAUUUCGGAGUUCACUGACAAACUGACAUUACAGAAUCUUUUCUAUGUUAUGUAAACUAUAUAUAAUAUAGUACAAAAAUAUUUUUUACCCUUUUUAAUUACCUCUAGAUAGAAGUAUUGAUUUGUGAACACUCUAUCCUUUCUAAUAUUCCAUUUUACUAAAUGUAAUGUAUUACAUUACAAACGAAUUAGUUGAUCACAAACUAAUAUCUGAGGAAGUCAGAUUGUACUGUAAUGUGACUGAUAAAAAUGUUUAAACUAAUUAAAUAAUGAUAAAAAAGGUUCUUUGAACUUCUCGUAAAAGAAUGGCGUCAGAUCAGGUAGAUGAGCUGAAAGAGCAGGGGAAUGCUUGUGUAAAAGCAGGAAAGUUUGAAGAAGCAGUUGUGCACUAUUCGCAUGCUAUCAAGUUGGACACCAAGAAUGCGGCUCUGUAUAGCAAUCGCUCGUUUGCGUUUCUGCGCAUGAGUCAGUUCUAUCAUGCAAUGCAAGAUGCCAAACAAACCAUACAGCUGAGACCCGAUUGGGUGAAGGGCUACUUCCGAUUGGGCGAAGUGCAAAGAAACACCAAGCACUUUGGCGAGGCGAUUCUGUCCUACAGUCGAGCGCUGCAAUUGGCGCCGAACGAUGUGACCAUCGUCGAGGCACUCACAAACACCGCUAGAGAAAGUCAAAAAACAAAGAAAGCCGAUGAGCAGAUUCCUUGGCUUGGAGCUGGACUGGGUAUAAUAAUUGGAGUUGCAAUUGUACUUGCUGAUUACGCAGUCUCCAAAAACCCUUCAUUAACACAUCCUAUACUGAUGGCGCUGUUGACGAUUGCUAUAGCUAUGCUGGGCUACGGCUUCGCCCGGGCCUAUCGCUAUUACAACAAGUGCCAGUGGAAUGGACUGCUAGAGCCACCCGUCGACCUGUUCAAAGGAGCCGAGUUGUCAGGUGGGGAUGGUGGAUGUGAAGCAAGGGAGGAGGAUGCAGCUGGUACCAGCAACCAGCACAGCAGCUCGGGCCACAAUCGCUACACCAAGGCACAGGCUCGCUUCCGUUUCAGGAAAGGCAAGGCAUAGAUCAACGCAACGCCUGCCUGUCCUUACAUCAUGGUUGGUUCAUUUCAUUCUUGUCAACUUCUUACAGCUUUUAUUUCAGAAAUGUUACCAGGGCAUUGUUGACUGGCGUAAUACAUACACUGGCGUGAUACCUCAAGUCAUCGUAUUUAUUUAUAUAUCAUAUAUGUAUUGAAAAUAAAUUAAGAGAAAUAACGUAUAAUACGUAUUAAUAAUCAAACGUAUUCAUCUUCUAUACAAAUUUGUAUAUCUCCUGUCACUUUUAUAUUCACAAUAAAUAUCUACUGUUUUGCAAAGAGAA